rnacentral:rRNA from 1 species
CUACGACCCGUUGCUGUGGGAGACAAUUCUUGCUUAUCUUCAAUCAGCCAUAGGAUAGGAUUCAUUCACAUUCCACUCUGAAAAACCAAGUGAGCUGCAUGUGUGGUAAGCUAAGUCAAGUCAAGCAAACUAUCCUCAUCCCCUUACACAGCAGCCACUGGUUACAUAUCUCCCUAUCUCUCCUCUCCUCUCGUGUAUAUGUAAGGUAAGGUGUUCCUCAAGACCUCCUGCAACGACUCAACCCCCCUUUUGCACUAGCCAGGCGGCAUCCAUCACCGGCACCUCGUGCGUGAGUGCGUGCCAACGUAAGUGCAGCAAGUCCGUCAAUUAGAGGAUGUCAGACGCGGCCCUCAGUGCGGCGCAAUGGGUGGUGGGCAAGGCGCUAGCCCCCGUCACGGAUGGUCUGCUAGAGGCUUGGGCAGGUAGCAGGAACCUUGGUCUCAACAUUGAGGCCCUCAGUACGGAACUGCUGCUAGUGAAAGCCAUGCUCGAACAAGCUGCUCUCAAGGAGCUCGGUGGCCCAGCCAUGGAGAUACUGCUGCAGAAGCUGCGGGAUUCAGCACACAAUGCCGAAGACUUGCUGGAUGAGCUGGACUACUUCCGCAUCCACGAUGAGCUCCAUGGCACGUACAAUGCUGCUGAACAGCAAGGCAAGAGUGGUGUCCACAACCUUGUCGUCAAUGCUCAUCACAUCGCCAAAGCUCUUGGCAAACAACUAGCAUCUUUGUCUGCGUACUGGUUUGGUGCCAAUGCUGGUGAUCACCGACAACAAGAUGCAAGACAACAUGUUAAUUAUUGUGCUUCACAGCAUGGUAAGAAGAGGUUACGUGGUGAUUUCUCAUCAGCGCCAAAGGCCAAUCAGGCUGAUGAGGAGGCCAGCAGGCGCAUGCCCAAGCUCGGUAAAUUCCUCCAUGGCUCAUCUUCCCCACACCCCCAUGUUCACGAUGACAAUUGCAGCAAUGCACAAGAAACACCAAAGCUUGAGUUUAAUAGGGUGAAUUUCUCUCAAAGGGUGAAGGGCAUUGUAGAGAAACUGCAACUUAUGCGUAAUGAGGUUAGCAAAAUUCUGCAAUGUUGUAGCCCUAGAACUGUCCCAAACAUUGCCUUGAGUCGUCCCAUCACCAAAGGUCGAAUUGAUGAGCCAAAACUGUAUGGGAGGGAUUGGGUCAUGAAUAGCAUCAUACAUGAUAUCACCAAGGGUCAAUAUUGUGACAAGGGUCUAACUGUGCUUUCGGUUGUUGGUCCCGGGGGGAUGGGGAAGACAACUCUGAUACAACACAUAUAUCGCAACCAACAAGUGAAGAAUUAUUUUCCAGUCAUGAUUUGGAUUUGUGUGUCGCUCAAUUUCAGUCUGGAUAAGGUGCUAGAACAAAUUAAAACAUGUACCCCUGCAGUUGAAAAUGAAAAGGAGGGCAGUACAACUGAAGAGUUGAUUGAAGAAAGAUUGAAAUCUAAAAGGUUCUUACUUGUAUUGGAUGAUAUAUGGCAGAUUAGUAAUGGGGAUGACUGGGAAAAUCUACUGUCGAUACUCAAUCAAUCACAAGAAAAGGGUUGCACAAUUCUAGUCACAACUCGGUUUCAAGCAAUAGCACAGAAGGUUAAAACAGGUCAUUCAAUACAAUUGAACGGUUUAGAAUCUGAAGAGUUUAGAAAGUUAUUUUUUGCAUUUGUCUUUGGCGAUGAGCAGUGUGCAAGGGAUAAACAUUUUCUGCUUGAGACUGGAGAUAAGAUAAUCCAAAAACUAAAGGGAUCCCCUCUUGCAGCAAAAACUGUUGGUAGAGUACUCAGUAAAGAACUUAGUUUGCAUCAUUGGAAAAGGGUGCUAAAAAGUAAAGAAUGGGAGACCGAUAACAAUGGAAUUAUGCCUGCCUUAAGGCUUAGCUAUGACUUUCUCCCUUUCCAUCUGCAACAAUGUUUCGCCUAUUCUGCAUUGUUUCCUGAAGAUUAUUGUGUCACAAGCCACCAGCUCAUUGGCCUAUGGACAGGACUAGAUAUUUUGAUACCUGGUGGUCAAAACCAAACAUUGGAAGAUAUAGGUUUGAGCAAUUUAAAUGAGUUAGUAAUCCAUGGAUUUUUCAGAGAAGAGGAAACUUAUGCAGGUCUGCGGUACGUUAUGCAUGACCUACUGCAUGAUUUGGCAUUGAAGGUUGCAUCGCAUGAUUGUCUUAGUUUACGUCUCCCUAAUGUUGAGUCAGUAGAAGUUCAGCCAUCGACCCAUCACUUAUCUAUAAGCAUAGAGGACUUAGGUGAAUAUGAUGCAGUGUCUGGCCAAAAAUUAAAGAGUGAACUGAAAGAACUGAAAACAAGAUUGAAGGUUGAACAUUUGCAAAGUUUGAUGUUAUUUGGAAAAAUAGAUAAAAGUUUUGCCAAGGUAUUUGGUGAUUUUUUUGGGGAAGCAAAUUCUCUUCGUGUUCUUUAUUUGCCCAACAUGAUGUAUCCAGUGGAAUGCAUGUUGCAUAACUUCUCACGACUUGUCCACCUACGAUUCCUGUGUCUAGGGACAUGGGACAGACAGAUACAUUUACCACCUAACAUGUCUAAACUUUACCACUUAAGGGUUCUAGAUCUUGAGUCAUGGUAUGGUAGUCAUGAUUUGCCUGAAGACAUGAGCAACCUUGCCAAAUUGUGCCAUUUUUAUACUCCAAUUGAUUGUUUUAAAACCGGUCCUUUGUAUACCACAAUAGAUGAGCAAUGUUAUGAUAUUUAUAAUGUGGGAAAACUUAUACACUUAGAAGAGUUAGAGGUAUUUCAAGUCAACAAAAAGAGUGAAGGAUUUGAACCAAAGCAACUAGAGACUUUGACCAAGCUAAGGGAGCUUGGAAUGUAUAACCUUCACAAAAUACAUACAAAAGAAGAAGCGGCUCAAGUAAAACUGAUAGAGAAAAACUACCUGAGAAGGUUAACAUUGGAUUGGGAUAGUAAGCGAUCUAAUGUUGACCCUAGUUUGGAAGCAUUGGUUCUUGAGAGACUUCAACCACAUGGAGAUCUUCAAGUAUUGUGCAUUAGAGGGCAUGGAGGCCCUUCUUGUCCAACAUGGCUGGGUGAUGAGUUCGCUAUUGAAGCUAUACAGUCUCUUUAUCUUUCUGGUGUUUCUUGGGAGGUUUUCCCUUCUCUAGGGAAGGCGUGGGAUCUUCGUGAAUUAAGGUUGGAGCAUAUUGGCACACCAAAGGAGUUUAUCAUAGAAAAAAGCUUUUGCAUGCUAAUAAAGCUUGAACUCAUUGGCCUAGAGAGUUUUGAAAAAUGGGUUUGUCCAGCUGAACAAGAGUCUGCCUUGGGUAGAGACCUGUCGCCACCACAUGCUCAUAUGUUCCCUCUUUUGCAAAUGCUAUUUAUUAUGAAUUGCCCGAAAUUCUUGUGGUUGCCUUCUUCAAACCAUAUUGUUUUCCCAGAUUGGUUUCCCAAACUACAAGAGUUUGUAAUUGUGAACUGCCCAAAAUUCCUGUCAGUGACUCCCAUCUCCUGGAUUGAAAGGUUGUGCCAUUUCCAUUUAUCAGAUGUGAAGCUACUACAUUUGUUUAAAUACUCAAAAUCAUCUGAUGGGGUAGAAUUGACGAUUAAUGGAGAGGGUGAUCUACAUAGUUUAGACCAAGUGUUAGUUCUGGAUAAAGAAGCAGGUGUUGAGAAGCUGACACUCGGUAGGUGCCCACCUCUUGAGUUGAAGCACCUUCUGAUGCUAACCUCGCUGAAGACAUUGAUUGUAUUUAGUUCAGAUGCCCUGGUUGGACCACUAGGAGGUCAAGGUGAUUUCGAAUGGCAACUCCCCGUUGAGAAUAUCAGGAUGAAUGACUUAAAUGGUACUAGUGGGAAGGAAUUGAUAAAGCUCCUCCCCCACCUCCCAAGGCUCUCCAAAUUGGAAAUAGAAUACAUAGAAAACAUAGUGGGGGUGGAUCUACAACAAACAACAUCAGCUAUUUCGUUUUUCCGUCAACUUUUUCCUUCCUCCUUGCAAUUCCUGGGGCUUAGGAGUGUGGAAGGCAUGGGGACACUUGAGCCCCUCUCAAGCCUCUCCUCUCUUACCAUAUUAGAAUUGAAUUAUUGCGGGCAUGAUCUGAAAUGUCAGGGCUUGCGGUCUCUCCUUACAUCUGGGGGCCAGCUCAACAAAUUAAAAGUCUUUGGCAGCCCUAGAUUCUUUGUUGGUUGGGAUCCCAAUCCCAGACGGGCGUUGGAGGAUGUUGAAGGAGAAGAGCAGCAAACACAGCUUGUUUCAUCCACACUGCGGGAGCUCUGCACGGAUGAUGCAGCGGGACUCCUUGCUGCACCCAUCUGCAGCUUCCUCUCCUCCCUCUCCGAGUUGGGACUUCGUGGGAAUGGGUCCAAAGAGGUGGAGCGCUUCAGCAAGGAGCAAGAGGACGCCCUUCAACUCCUCUCCUCCCUCCAGGAACUAGAGUUUUGGAGUUUCCACAAUCUUCAGCAACUCCCUGCAAGGCUGCACAACCUUACCAGUCUCGAGAUACUAUCAAUCAGCGACUGUCCAGCUAUCUCAUCGUUGCCCAGUGAUGACCUGCCCAAAUCACUGCAAGAGCUAAAUGUUAGAUACUGCUCGGAGGAGCUAAAACAGCAGUGCAGAGGGUUAGUGGGAACCAUCCCAAGAAUCAUACAACACUGAUCCAAGGACUCUGCCUUGGAAUUCCCAUGUACAUUCUUCUAUCUUUCUAGAGCUCAACUCUUUACAUGCAUACACAUUUGCCACCGUGCAUGACCCAAGGGUCUUGUGGCCGUCGUCUUCCUUACUGUACAAAAAAUCUGGUGUUCGUUCAAUGUUAUGGCUUCUUUAUUUUUUGCAUGCAAAUUUGGGUUAUUGUCAUUCAUCAAGGCAUGGUAGUCUACUUGCCUAUUUUGGGUGUCACGGUCACAAUAUCACUGGCGUAAGUAGUGAAUAAAUGAAACAUUGGGGUCAAGCUACUGAUAUCAAGCUACUUGUGUUUACAUUUGUCCAAAAUCCAUGAAGACUUGAUGGUGUACCUCGAAAGUUCAGUUGUAAGGAUCAAAAGAUCAUCAUGGCAUAAUUAUGGAGUGUUUUGCUACCGACAAGGGUCUUCACAAGAAUAGCCUGCAUAUAUACCAUAGCAGUGCAUGCACGGACUCAAUUCGGAUCAUAGAGAGUAGUAGUACAGCCUGAUGGUAUAUUGCAUAUUCGUCCUGAAACUGUCAUAAUGACAAACUAACAAGCAAGAUUAUCAUUUCCUUAAGCCCCAAAGGCCACAAGAUGCAGCUGACAACAUUUUAUUUCGAAAACUCAGCACUGCAAAGGUGUGAGCAACUGCAGAAAGGUCUAGAUGCCACUGAACAGUCCAGGGCACCGAGAGAAACACGAUUUGUCCCAUACUCGCGGCGGUACACAAGGACUCCUACACACUUGCUCGAUGACUACAGCAAUGGGUGUACCUAAAACACCGGAGAAGGCUCAUUCAUGUGAGAAUCAGCUACCAUGCUCAUUGGAGCCAUGCUAAGGAAGAAGAAGCAGACACAUAGGCUAGGCUAGCAGAAGCGUAGUCUGCAGCUAGGAAUAUCUAAAGCCAGUCGCUCAGAAAUUGCUGUGAUGAGUACAUCCAGUGAGGCCUUAUUCACCUUCAUACCAUGACAGAUGCAAAUGGUCAGAUUCUUCUUCUCAGCAAAGGGAAUGGAGCUGGAGCCAUGGAGGAUACCUGCCUGUUGGAAAAAUAAAUGGUCAGACUCUUCUUCCCAGCAAAGGGAUGCUGCUCGUACGGCUUGCUUGAAGCCUGUCCGUCAUUUGUGUCCAAGAAAUGCUAUUCCGUUGAUCUUCACCGAAGGCAGUGAUGUUCCAAGAUAUCAUCAUCACCGUCGUCCGUCGGUUGAUCAUCCCGGUGAUUCACUGAAGAUAGAGAGGAGAGGAGCACCAUUCACUACAAUCCGCGCCAUUGAGCAGCUCAAGAUGCUCUUCAAAUGAGCUGCUUCUUUGCCAUGAACUGCAUGAUCUUGUACCUCAGAAUUGGUAGCAGCAGUAUCUGUCGAAUGCUUAUGGGAAGAUGGCCGAGGUGGUAGGUCUCAGGACCUUUUGUGAAUGAGGCAUGGAAUGGGUGCAGAGGAAGAACCAUCCAAAUCCAGUUUGGCCAUCAGGCUUUUGUUAAAAGUUGUUAUUAAAACUGUGAUGUUGUACAAAGUGAAGUUUUUCUUUCAAAUUGUACACAUUUAUAAAAAAGGCGAAGAUGGUUGAUGUUCACCACAUCUUAGACAUUCUCUAUAUUUAUUAUCAUUGCCAUCGUCUGAUAAAACAUUCUACCACAUCCAUAUUCUCGAGUUAUAACGGCGCAGCGAGGCACACCUUUUCUUCAAGUUACACUUAAC